ACAGGGAUUGCCCUAGUAACGGCGAGUGAAGCGGCAACAGCUCAAAUUUGAAAUCUGGCGUCUUUGGCGUCCGAGUUGUAAUUUGCAGAGGGCGCUUUGGCAUUGGCAGCGGUCCAAGUUCCUUGGAACAGGACGUCACAGAGGGUGAGAAUCCCGUACGUGGUCGCUAGCCUUUACCGUGUAAAGCCCCUUCGACGAGUCGAGUUGUUUGGGAAUGCAGCUCUAAAUGGGAGGUAAAUUUCUUCUAAAGCUAAAUACUGGCCAGAGACCGAUAGCGCACAAGUAGAGUGAUCGAAAGAUGAAAAGCACUUUGGAAAGAGAGUUAAAAAGCACGUGAAAUUGUUGAAAGGGAAGCGCUUGCAGCCAGACUUGCCUGUAGUUGCUCAUCCGGGUUUUUACCCGGUGCACUCUUCUAUAGGCAGGCCAGCAUCAGUUUGGGCGGUUGGAUAAAGGUCUCUGUCAUGUACCUCUCUUCGGGGAGAACUUAUAGGGGAGACGACAUGCAACCAGCCUGGACUGAGGUCCGCGCAUCUGCUAGGAUGCUGGCGUAAUGGCUGUAAGCGGCCCGUCUUGAAACACGGACCAAGGAGUCUAACAUCUAUGCGAGUGUUUGGGUGUCAAGCCCGAGCGCGUAAUGAAAGUGAACGGAGGUGGGAACCCCUCGGGGUGCACCAUCGACCGAUCCUGAUGUCUUCGGAUGGAUUUGAGUAAGAGCAUAGCUGUUGGGACCCGAAAGAUGGUGAACUAUGCUUGAAUAGGGUGAAGCCAGAGGAAACUCUGGUGGAGGCUCGCAGCGGUUCUGACGUGC
rnacentral:rRNA from 1 species